rnacentral:rRNA from 1 species
AGUGAACGCUGGCGGUAGGCCUAACACAUGCAAGUCGAACGGCAGCACAGUAAGAGCUUGCUCUUACGGGUGGCGAGUGGCGGACGGGUGAGGAAUACAUCGGAAUCUACUUUUUCGUGGGGGAUAACGUAGGGAAACUUACGCUAAUGCCGCAUACGACCUACGGGUGAAAGCAGGGGAUCUUCGGACCUUGGGCGAUUGAAUGAGCCGAGGUCGGAUUAGCUAGUUGGCGGGGUAAAGGCCCACUAAGGCGACGAUCCGUAGCUGGUCUGAGAGGAUGAUCAGCCACACUGGAACUGAGACACGGUCCAGACUCCUACGGGAGGCAGCUGUGGGGAAUAUUGGACAAUGGGCGCAAGCCUGAUCCAGCCAUACCGCGUGGGUGAAGAAGGCCUUCGGGUUGUAAAGCCCUUUUGUUGGGAAAGAAAAGCAGCAGGUUAAUACCCCGCUGUUCUGACGGUACCCAAAGAAUAAGCACCGGCUAACUUCGUG